rnacentral:lncRNA from 10 species
UUUGGAGUCUCUUUUGGAAAAAAUACGAAACAAAUAAAGCCAGUUUCAUUUUCAACUUCUAUUUCAGCUGCUACACUGAAGGGAAAAACCUGAGGAAGCCCCUGACCUUCUUGAAUAACCUGGAUAUUGCAGAAUCAUGCCUGGCACACGGCACUGGCAGAGACGCAGAAGGGAAAGUGUCCAGCGAUGAGAGAUACCGGCCAGGGGGCAAAUCUUCAGCUUGCAGCACUCACUUUGCAGAUCCAGUUGGAAUUAUUUGUGUUGACGCUCUCUGCUCUCUCCGCUCUCCCCUGGAAAUGACGAGGAACUGAGUACAGUGGACAAUGGCUUCCGUGUCCCUAGCUCCCCCCGAGCCAUGAGCUGCUACAUCAAAAGUCUGCAGUGGGCUGCCCUUCCCAUAAUAUUUCAAUUUAAGCACCGACUUGCUGCUGCGGAGUCAUAUCUCAUUCAUGCUGCAGCCUUUGCAGGAGUCAGGGAUCAUUAUGGAGCAAGCACUGAGAAAAAACAGAUUACAGCUUGGCACCGAGCAGCCAGGUUGCACCCCAGAUGCUUCAGGGACAUGGUGCCUGCUCUGGAGAAUGGGGCAGCUUCCACACUGCCCAGGAGCCAGGGCUUCUGACCCAGGAGCGAAAGUCUGUCUCUUCCAUUUCUGGGAGCUGGCAGUAUUUGCACGACUUUCUGGGCCUCAGGCAUCCCAUUGCCCACCAGGAAUUACCUUCCUCCAGGAUCAUGGUGAAGAUGACAUGAGAUGCUAAUGCUUGGCCUGCGGUUGCUAUUUUUAGUUCUCCACUUUCCUGGAAAGCAUGCAGUUGAAGUUCAUGACGGUAUUCUCUCAACGUGUGACUCAAAGACAGAGGCCGUUUCCCAUCCACCGGUUCUCACACUGCCCCAUUCUGCAGCUUCACCAUCCACGCGCUAAGAAGGCAGGCCCCAAAGUCUCAGCACCCAGCCGCUGGGGUCCUCGCUCUUAUGGACAGAAAACUCAAGAAUGAAUAUGUUUCCCCAUCUUGUGCCCUUUUGCCUGGAAACUAUACAGAGCAGGGGUCCCUGCUGGCAUUCCUUCUCUGUACUAGUACGGCUUCGGAAAGUACUGGUUCUCUGAGGAGCGCUCAGUUGCAUCUGGAAGGUGCAGUGUGCACAGCGAUGCCCCUUGACACCAAGGUGUGAGCAUUUGAGCUGUGCUGGAAGGUUCUCCAUGGAAUAGUGCCCACCCUGGAGGGUCCUGUGCCGCGCACUUGAGGAGGCUGUGGUGGUGAGGAGAGACUCUGGAGCAACCCACACUCCCGAUAAGUCAGAUAAGAGUGCCUCCUCUAGGUAAGUUUAUGUUGCAAAUUUAAAGAGAGGAACCAAGAAACAGCAAGGACACUGAGCCAGGACUGAGAGUUUGGGUCUUAGGUGGCUUUGGGUCAUUACGCCCUCUCAAGUGGAUUGCUCUAAGCCCUGUUUAUUUGUUAAUGUGAAUAGUUG